CUUGGAACCCAGAUGCCAGAGUCCUAGAGGCAAAGACUAGAAAACCACCCCACGGUCCUUGGGCAGCUCACCUAAAAGCUAUGUAUUAUGGGUGCCCACUAGCCCCCCAAACCUGCAUAUCUCCAUGCCCAACAGGGUUCUAGGACUUCUUCAGCCACGCAAUUCCACCUUGGGUUCAUCUCUCCACCAGCAGCAGCUCCCCACACCACUGUCCAUCUGUGCCGAAGACAGUAUCACCUGUGUCCAGAGGAACCCACGUCCACAAAUGUCCACGGGCAGGUACAUGGAGCCCAGCUUAUUCAUCCAGACGGAAGGGAGCAAACGGCCUUAAACAUAUUUUUCUGGCAGCCACGUGUUAGAUGAAAGGGCUCACAUCUGGUGCCCGUGUGCUCAGAGCUGGACACCCGCAAAAGAAUGUCAAGAGUAGGGCCUGAAGUGGACACUCCUGGACAUGUUGUACCCAAGGAAGCAUUGGAGCCCACCAAGAAGCCCACUUAGGUGUACCUGUAAUCCCCAACCAGAUGGUCAGAGUCAACAAAAGCCAGACCCACAGCUAAUCAUGGUUGCAAAACCCAAAUUAUCAGAGAGCUAACCCUGGACAGAUGGUGAGCUGGAUACACAAAAACAAACCUUGAGUGGCAUUGAGGGACGUUGCCAAGGGACAAGAGAGGCAAUAAUUUUAUUCAAAAUCAGAAUCUGUGUGCAGCUGUGCUUCCAGCCAGCACAUCCUAACAAGAGGCCAGACAAGGCCACCAACACAGAAGCCAUUUUUGUUCGCCAGUGAGGCCUGAGAAAUGACCCUAGAAACUGAAGUAACAGAAUAUAAACAGCCAUGUACACACACACACACACACACACACACACACACACACACCACACCACCACACCACCACACCACCACACCACCACACCACCACACCACACCUUGGAAAUGGAGCAGCCUUAGCAGAAGCGUUUAUUUCUCUUCAGUCUCCAGAAAAUCACCUGAUGUUGCCACCAACACAGAUUAUUCGGCAUCAGGUUCCCUUCCUCCUCACUCCCUCCACUCUCAACACCUGAACCAACACUGCUGACCUUCACAGGGAAUGGCAGAUGUCUGGCAGGAAGGGACCUGAGCUGCCUGCUUGUGCCCUGGCCGAGCUAGUUACCAGUCAAAACUUCAAUAUCCUCUUACCUGGCACCCACUUCAAAGUGCUCUGCAGAGCUUCCAAACUGUUUGUGUUUAGGGAAAGAAGUCACAGGAGAACCCUGACACAAGACACAAGAAGGCAAGGUCCCCUGGACCUUGUGAGCAGUUCAGGGGGGUCUGAGGCUCCUGGGAAUUCACAGAGGCCAACACCUUCACACCAGCGGCCUUCACACCAGUGAUCAGGAAGUUGUGUCACUCCCACACCUGUCUCCUUUGUCCCUUCUUCUCCUUGUGGUGCUGGUCAAAUAUGUGUCUUGACCACCCUGCCUGCCCCAAAUCAUGCCCACCAGUUCCUACUUUGCUUACGAUGGUGACUCUGUCAGCUUCAGGACCCUUUCUCCAGGCCUUGUGUAGAGCCUCCACCAAAGCAAAGCAAACCUCCUCCACCCCCCACCCCGAAAACUCCUCAGCCACACUCUUCCAGUGAAGAGGGGUGUGCAUGACUGCCGAGUACCUCUGCAUGCGCAGAUGGGGAUUUGCCUGUCGCUUAUUUGCUAUGCAUAAGAUUUCCACACACGACUGGUAAGUUUUCCCUCACAAACAGAUGCCCCAAACUUCUUCCUUCCCCUCUCCCUUCAUUAAAGUCAACAUCUGGUCCUCUAUGCGGAGAUGCCAUAAUACAGGAAGCAGUGAGGUGUGGGGGAAGGAGACACAGACCAGGGAACAGAGUCAGCCCUCCAGCUCCAGAAACUUUGGGAGACUCUGGGCAGACUUAAUAGACAAA
ensembl:lncRNA